UUCAGCCGGCUAGACUAGAGAAACUAUUGAUCCAGUUUUUGCUGGGGGAAAAUCCUAUUUAAAGGUAGACUCACUUGCCUGUGCUCGGGCCAGUUUCUUCUCUUCUAUUCUCUUCUCUUCUCUUCCCUCACCGCCCAUAGUUACAUCAACAAUUCUAGUUAUGUAACAUUUUCAUUGAUAUUCACUUAGUUUACUACUCUACUUGCCAAAAAAAAAAAAAAAAAUGAGACCAAGUCGAUUCACACCAGUCACAGAGCUUGUCAACAUGUUGGAUGUCGAAAUGGAGAUUAGAGAGGUACGGAGCCUAUCGCCCGAGGGAUGCUAUGGCGAUAUCAUCACGCUAGCCCCCUACGAACGAAUAGAAAUAAGUGCGAGAUUGUUUCACCAAAGAUGUAUCGAUUCAUCAAGGUCUUCUCUUCUCAAAAUAUUCAUCGGUGACCACCAAACAAACCGUGUAUUGAAGCCGUAUCAAUUCAUCGCUUACUCGAGGAUCGUAUUCAGUAGGGAUCAUCAGAAUCCACAGCUCAUCUUUAUUAGAGGGCUUAGAUCCUCUUUCUUGUAUAGGUUCAAGGGCUUGCGUUUUCUUGUGGGGAAGAACAACUACAACGGGAUGCCGGAAGAAGAGAUCCAUUGAGUUACAAUGAUUUGAAAGCAGCGUUAAGAAAUUAUGAACUCUUUAUGCUCUUAUCCUGUUUAAUAUUGUAAUUUAUAAUUUUAAAAAUGUCACCGCCAUAUUAUUGUUGUGAUAUUUUUUUUGAGUGUGUAAAUAUUGGUAUAUGUACAACAAAAAACUUUAAAUUA